CAGUGACCUUCAGGGAUGUAGCUAUAGACUUUUCCAGGGAAGAGUGGGCCUUGCUGGAUGCAACCCAGAGAAAGCUGUUCAGAGAUGUUAUUCUGGAGAAUAUCAAUCAUCUGGUGACUGUGGGGUAUAAGCUCUGCAAAUUGGAAGCAGUUUCCCAGUUGGAACAAGGAUAGAAACUGUGGAGAGAAAGAUUAGGAUUUCUCCAAGGACAGAGUCCAGGCAGGGAAAUGACCAUAAAAAGGAAAAAAUGAUAAUCAUACAACAUAUCUGCAAGAAAGAGAC